ACCACACCCGGGCAGCUUCGCCUGCCUCUGCCACGAGGGCUUCAUCCUGGACUCGUCCCGGACGCAGCUGCAUCUCCCACCAGGUGAUCUCGGAGGCGCGGGGGCCAUGUUACCGGGUGCUGCGGGAGGGGCGCUGCGCGCUGCCCACCCUGCGCAACAUCACCCGCCAGAUCUGCUGCUGCAGCCCGCGUGGGCAAGGCCUGGGGGCCGGCGUGCCAGCGCUGCCCCCCUUCGGCUCCGAGGGGUUCAAGGAGAUCUGCCCC